rnacentral:rRNA from 1 species
AGGCUUAACACAUGCAAGUCGAGCGCCCCGCGAGGGGAGCGGCAGACGGGUGAGUAACGCGUGGGAAUCUACCCUUUACUACGGAAUAACGCAGGGAAACUUGUGCUAAUACCGUAUGUGUCCUUCGGGAGAAAGAUUUAUCGGUAAAGGAUGAGCCCGCGUUGGAUUAGCUAGUUGGUGGGGUAAAGGCCUACCAAGGCGACGAUCCAUAGCUGGUCUGAGAGGA